rnacentral:rRNA from 1 species
GACGAACGCUGGCGGCGUGCUUAACACAUGCAAGUCGAACGGUGAAGGCGGAGCUUGCUCUGCCGGAUCAGUGGCGAACGGGUGAGUAACACGUGGGCAACCUGCCCCUCACUUCGGGAUAACUCCGGGAAACCGGGGCUAAUACCGGAUACGACCUCCUUGGGCAUCUUUGGAGGUGGAAAGUUUUUCGGUGAGGGAUGGGCCCGCGGCCUAUCAGCUUGUUGGUGGGGUGGUGGCGCACCAAGGCGACGACGGGUAGCCGGCCUGAGAGGGCGACCGGCCACACUGGGACUGAGACACGGCCCAGACUCCUACGGGAGGCAGCAGUGGGGAAUAUUGCGCAAUGGGCGAAAGCCUGACGCAGCAACGCCGCGUGCGGGAUGAAGGCCUUCGGGUUGUAAACCGCUUUCAGCAGGGAAGAAGCCGCAAGGUGACGGUACCUGCAGAAGAAGCACCGGCUAACUACGUGCCAGCAGCCGCAGUAA